UCCCAGGUGUAUCCCAGGUGUGCCCAGGUGUAUCCCAGGUGUAUCCCAGGUGUAUCCCAGGUGUGCCCAGGUGUAUCCCAGGUGCGCCCAGGUGUAUCCCAGACAUACCCAGGUGUGCCCAGGUGUAUCACAGACAUACCCAGGUAUGCCCAGGUGUAUCACAGACAUACCCAGGUGUAUCCCAGGUGUGCCCAGGUGUAUCACAGACAUACCCAGGUGUGCCCAAGUGUAUCCCAGGUGUGCCCAGGCGUGCCCAGGUGUAUCACAGACAUACCCAGGUGUAUCCCAGGUGCGCCCAGGUGCGCCCAGGCGCCCCUAGCAGGGCGAGGUGGACAGGUGGGGGUGCGGGGCGGGUCUCUGGGGGUACUUGAUGGCGGGCGGGUAGUUCUGGGUCAUCUGGAUGGAGACGUCGGACGAGGCGUCGGAGGCGCUGCGGGCGCGCGGCCACGCCCGCGGCUGCAGGAACUGCGCCGACAGCCCCGAGCAGGUGCUGAGGCGCGGGCGCAGCAGCUGCGGCGGCGCCCGGCACAGCUCCUCCUCGGCGUAGCGCUUGGUGAACAGGUACACCGACAUCACACCUGCGCCCUGAAACAGAGAGAGAGACGGGUGAGUGACACGCCUGUCACACCUGAGUGACACCUGUGACACACCUGAGUGACAGCUGUG
rnacentral:lncRNA from 1 species